AGCAGUCGCCGCGGGAAAACGAAGGGGGCUAGCGUUGUUCGGAAUUACUGGGCGUAAAGCGCACGUAGGCGGUUAUUCAAGUCAGAGGUGAAAGCCCGGGGCUCAACCCCGGAACUGCCUUUGAAACUAGAUGACUGGAAUCUUGGAGAGGUCAGUGGAAUUCCGAGUGUAGAGGUGAAAUUCGUAGAUAUUCGGAAGAACACCAGUGGCGAAGGCGACUGACUGGACAGGUAUUGACGCUGAGGUGCGAAAGCGUGGGGAGCAAACAGGAUUAGAUACCCGGGUAGUCCCUGUCUCUUAUAC
rnacentral:rRNA from 1 species